CAGUCGCCGCGGUAAUACAGAGGGUGCAAGCGUUAAUCGGAAUUACUGGGCGUAAAGCGCGCGUAGGUGGUUUGUUAAGUUGGAUGUGAAAUCCCCGGGCUCAACCUGGGAACUGCAUCCAAAACUGGCAGGCUAGAGUAGGGCAGAGGGUGGUGGAAUUUCCUGUGUAGCGGUGAAAUGCGUAGAUAUAGGAAGGAACACCAGUGGCGAAGGCGACCACCUGGGCUCAUACUGACACUGAGGUGCGAAAGCGUGGGGAGCAAACAGGAUUAGAUACCCCGGUAGUCCCUGUCUCUUAUAC
rnacentral:rRNA from 1 species